GACGAACGCUGGCGGCGUGCCUAAUACAUGCAAGUCGAACGAGAGCGCCCGGUGCUUGCACUGUUCACUCUAGUGGCGAACGGGUGAGUCACACGUGGAUACCCUGCCCAUCAUAGGGGGAUAACAUUCGGACACGGAUUCUUACACCGCAUAGGUCUUCGAACCGUAUGGUGUGAAGAGGAAAAGCGGCGCAUGCUUCUGCUGACGGAUGUACCCGCGGUGCAUUUGCUAGUUGGUGGGGUAACGGCUCACCCGGGCGGUGAUGCAUAGCCGAACUGUGGGGGUGAUCGGCGACAUUGGGACUGAGACAGGGCCCAAACGCCUACGGGAGGCAGCAGUAGGGAAUGGUCCGCAAUGGACGCAAGUCUGACGGAGCAACGGCGAGUGAGUGAAGAAGGUGUUCGGAUCGUAAAACUCUGUUGUUAGAGAAGAAUAAGUGCUAGCGUAAAUGAUAGGGGCUUGACGGUAUCGAACAAGAAAGCAACGGCUAACUACGUG
rnacentral:rRNA from 1 species